UACAGAGGCCUCGAGCGUUGCGCGGAAUCACUGGGCUUAAAGGGUGCGUAGGCGGAUACACAAGUGCCUUGUGAAAUCCCACGGCUCAACCGUGGAACUGCUGGGCAUACUGCGUUUCUUGAGCCAGCCAGGGGUCGUCGGAACAAACGGUGGAGCGGUGAAAUGCGUAGAUAUCGUUUGGAACGCCAAAGGCGAAAGCAGACGACUGGGGCUGAGCUGACGCUGAGACACGAAAGCCAGGGGAGCAAACGGG
rnacentral:rRNA from 1 species